AACGGGUGAGUAAUACAUAAGCAAUCUGCCCAUGGGACUGGGAUAACGUCUGGAAACGGACGCUAAUACCGGAUAGGCUGGGGUGAGGCAUCUUGCUCCAAUUAAAGUUGGGAUACAACACCGAUGGAUGAGCUUAUGGCGUAUUAGCUAGUAGGUGAGGUAACGGCCCACCAAGCCUUCGAUGGAUAGGGGUUCUGAGAGGAAGGUCCCCCACAUUGGAACUGAGACACGGUCCAAACUCCUACGGGAGGCAGCAUG
rnacentral:rRNA from 1 species